GCGACGGAAAAUCUGGCUGAUGCAAACUUUCUAAAGGAGCAGAGAAAUGUCUGAGAAACAGACCAAGAGAAAAAGGUCAGACGAAUAUAAACUGAAAAUAAGGAUUAUGAUAUGUCGAGGGCUAGGAGCCGCGUCACUAUCGGCGAGGAUUUUCAGCGGAGGAGAGACCGAAGUUGAAGUUGCUGUUUUUCUUCUCGAUAGCUAAACUGUCUUGGGAUGGAAGGUAAUAAAACACCAACAUAAAACCUGCAACAACCCACAAUAAGUGAUGUAUUUGCCCGGACAACGAAAUACCCGACCAGAAGCCCAUGAUGGAGGGAACGGACAGAUGAAAGCUGCCUCAGAGUUAUCCAGCUGCAGUUGUCUCUGCAGUCUUUCCUUAUUCAGCUUCUCAUUCUGACACUGAAGCUGUUGCACAUUCUGUAGGACCUGACCACUCAGACCCAGAGUCCAGUCUUCCCCGG